GUGCUCGCUUUGGCAGCACACAUACGAAAAUUGGAACGAUAUCGAGAAGAUUAAAUGGCCCCUGUGCAAGGGUGACAUGCAAAUUUGUGAAGCGUUCUGUAUUUUU
ensembl:snRNA U6 U6 spliceosomal RNA